GACGAACGCUGGCGGCGUGCCUAAUACAUGCAAGUCGAGCGGACAGAAGGGAGCUUGCUCCCGGAAGUUAGCGGCGGACGGGUGAGUAACACGUGGGCAACCUACCCUGUAGAUCGGGAUAACAUCGAGAAAUCGGUGCUAAUACCGGAUAAUCAUUUGAAGUGCAUGCUUCGAAUGUAAAAGAUGGCUCCGGCUAUCACUACGGGAUGGGCCCGCGGCGCAUUAGCUAGUUGGUAAGGUAAUGGCUUACCAAGGCAACGAUGCGUAGCCGACCUGAGAGGGUGAUCGGCCACACUGGGACUGAGACAUGGCCCAGACUCCUACGGGAGGCAGCAGUAGGGAAUCUUCCGCAAUGGACGAAAGUCUGACGGAGCAACGCCGCGUGAGUGAUGAAGGUUUUCGGAUCGUAAAGCUCUGUUGUUAGGGAAGAACAAGUGCCGUUUGAAUAAGGCGGUACCUUGACGGUACCUAACCAGAAAGCCACGGCUAACUACGUGCCAGCCGCCGCGGUAAUAC
rnacentral:rRNA from 1 species